rnacentral:rRNA from 1 species
GAUGAACGCUGGCGGCGUGCCUAAUACAUGCAAGUCGAGCGAACGGACGAGAAGCUUGCUUCUCUGAUGUUAGCGGCGGACGGGUGGGUAACACGUGGAUAACCUACCUAUAAGACUGGGAUAACUUCGGGAAACCGUAGCUAAUACCGGAUAAUAUUUUGAACCGCAUGGUUCAAAAGUGAAAGACGGUCUUGCUGUCACUUAUAGAUGGAUCCGCGCUGCAUUAGCUAGUUGGUAAGGUAACGGCCUACCAAGGCAACGAUGCAUAGCCGACCUGAGAGGGUGAUCGGCCACACUGGAACUGAGACACGGUCCAGACUCCUACGGGAGGCAGCAGUAGGGAAUCUUCCGCAAUGGGCGAAAGCCUGACGGAGCAACGCCGCGUGAGUGAUGAAGGUCUUCGGAUCGUAAAACUCUGUUAUUAGGGAAGAACAUAUGUGUAAGUAACUGUGCACAUCUUGACGGUACCUAAUCAGAAAGCCACGGCUAACUACGUG